rnacentral:misc_RNA from 1 species
GAUGAAGAACGUAGCGAAAUGCGAUACGUAGUGUGAAUUGCAGAAUUCCGUGAACCAUCAAAUCUUUGAACGCAUAUUGCGCUCGAGGCUUCGGCCGAGAGCAUGUCUGCCUCAGCGUCGGUAUUACCCCUCGCUUCUCAACCCCUGGUUGAUGCCUGCCUGCCUUUGCAGUUGGCUAGAAGCGGAUCUGGCUUUCCCAAUUGCCUUUGGUAGUUGGGUCAGCUGAAGCACAGAGGCUUGAGCAAGGACCCUUAUUGGGCUUCAACUGGAUAGGUAGAACUGGUCUUAGGACCAACUACACGAAGUUGUUGCUUGUGGUCUUUUGUCUGGAGACCAGCAGGAAACCUUUAUACCUUCGACCUGAGCUCAGGCAAGAUUACCCGCUGAACUUAAGCAUAUCAAUAAGCGGAGGA